rnacentral:rRNA from 1 species
UUUUAUGGAGAGUUUGAUCCUGGCUCAGGAUGAACGCUGGCGGCGUGCCUAAUACAUGCAAGUCGAGCGAACAGACGAGGAGCUUGCUCCUCUGACGUUAGCGGCGGACGGGUGAGUAACACGUGGAUAACCUACCUAUAAGACUGGGA